rnacentral:rRNA from 1 species
GAUGAACGCUGGCGGCGUGCUUGAUACAUGCAAGUCGAACGGAGAGUGUAGCAAUAUACUUUUAGUGGCGAACGGGUGAGUAACGCGUUGGUGACCUGCCCCGAAGCGAGGGAUAACAGUUCGAAAGAACUGCUAAUACCUCAUGUGAUCACCGGUUUUAGAAUCUGGUGAUUAAAGGUGAAAAUCACUUCGGGAGGGGCCUGCGUCCCAUCAGCUAGUUGGUAAGGUAAUGGCUUACCAAGGCGAUGACGGGUAGGGGACCUGAGAGGGUGGCCCCCCACAAUGGAACUGAAACACGGUCCAUACGCCUACGGGUGGCAGCAGUAGGGAAUAUUGCAAAUGGGCGAAAGCCUGAUGUAGCAACGCCGCGUGUGCGAUGAAGGUCUUCGGAUUGUAAAGCACUUUUUGGAGGGAUGAGGAAGGACAGUACCUCCAGAAUAAGCCUCGGCUAACUACGUG